rnacentral:rRNA from 1 species
GUGGGGAAUAUUGGACAAUGGGCGCAAGCCUGAUCCAGCCAUACCGCGUGGGUGAAGAAGGCCUUCGGGUUGUAAACUGCUUUUGUACGGAACGAAAAGCCUCUGGUUAAUACCCGGGGGUCAUGACGGUACCGUAAGAAUAAGCACCGGCUAACUACGUGCCAGCAGCCGCGGUAAUACGUAGGGUGCGAGCGUUAAUCGGAAUUACUGGGCGUAAAGCGUGCGCAGGCGGUGAUGUAAGACAGUUGUGAAAUCCCCGGGCUCAACCUGGGAACUGCAUCGGUGACUGCAUUGCUGGAGUGCGGCAGAGGGGGAUGGAAUUCCGCGUGUAGCAGUGAAAUGCGUAGAUAUGCGGAGGAACACCGAUGGCGAAGGCAAUCCCCUGGGCCUGCACUGACGCUCAUGCACGAAAGCGUGGGGAGCAAACUGGAUUAGAUACCCUUGUAGUCC